UGAUGAGAGCUUGCUCUCUGAUUUUAGCGGCGGACGGGUGAGUAACACGUGGGCAACCUGCCCUACAGAUGGGGAUAACUCCGGGAAACCGGGGCUAAUACCGAAUAAUCAGUUUGUCCGCAUGGGCAAACUCUGAAAGACGGUUUCGGCUGUCACUGUAGGAUGGGCCCGCGGCGCAUUAGCUAGUUGGUGGGGUAAUGGCCUACCAAGGCAACGAUGCGUAGCCGACCUGAGAGGGUGAUCGGCCACACUGGGACUGAGACACGGCCCAGACUCCUACGGGAGGCAGCAGUAGGGAAUCUUCCACAAUGGACGAAAGUCUGAUGGAGCAAUGCCGCGUGAGCGAAGAAGGUUUUCGGA
rnacentral:rRNA from 1 species